rnacentral:misc_RNA from 1 species
GAUGAAGAACGUAGCGAAAUGCGAUAAGUAAUGUGAAUUGCAGAAUUCAGUGAAUCAUCGAACCUUUGAACGCACAUUGCGCCCGCCAGUAUUCUGGCGGGCAUGCCUGUUCGAGCGUCAUUUCAACCAUCAAGCCCCCGGCUUGUGUUGGGGACCUGCGGCUGCCGCAGGCCCUGAAAAGCAGUGGCGGGCUCGCUGUCACACCGAGCGUAGUAGAUUUCAUCUCGCUCAGGGCGUGCUGCGGGUUCCGGCCGUUAAACCACCUUCAUAACCCAAGGUUGACCUCGGAUCAGGUAGGAAGACCCGCUGAACUUAAGCAUAUCAAUAAGCGGAGGA